GAUGAAGAACGUAGCGAAAUGCGAUACGUAAUGUGAAUUGCAGAAUUCAGUGAAUCAUCGAGUCUUUGAACGCACAUUGCGCCCCCUGGUAUUCCGGGGGGCAUGCCUGUCCGAGCGUCAUUUCUGUCCUCAAGCACGGCUUGUGUGUUGGGCCCCGUCCUCCGAUUCCGGGGGACGGGCCCGAAAGGCAGCGGCGGCACCGAGUCCGGUCCUCGAGCGUAUGGGGCUUUGUCACCCGCUCUGUAGGCCCGGCCGGCGCUUGCCGAUCAACCCAAAUUUUUAUCCAGGUUGACCUCGGAUCAGGUAGGGAUACCCGCUGAACUUAAGCAUAUCAAUAAGCGGAGGA
rnacentral:misc_RNA from 1 species